rnacentral:rRNA from 1 species
UACAGAGGUCCCAAGCGUUGUUCGGAUUCACUGGGCGUAAAGGGUGCGUAGGUGGCCGGGUAAGUCUGACGUGAAAUCUCCGAGCCUAACUCGGAAACUGCAUCGGAUACUAUCCGGCUUGAGGGUUGGAGGGGGGACUGGAAUACUUGGUGUAGCAGUGAAAUGCGUAGAUAUCAAGUGGAACACCAGUGGCGAAGGCGAGUUCCUGGACAACUCCUGACACUGAGGCACGAAAGCUAGGGGAGCAAACAGG